AUAUGAGACUGUGAUGAUGGGAGCCAAGGAUGAGGAAACUUUUUUACUGUUUGACAUCCCAGGUGGGACCCAAGCCCGCAAUCUUGGAUCCUUUAAUCUCCAAAGAUCCAUUACCAGCAAUGUGUGAGCUCCCCUGGGACCUUUGGCAUGGGAGACGGUGGCUGUUUAGGAAUGGAUUUCUCCAAUUUAGUGCUCCCAUGCUGCCCCUUGCUUCCUGCUCACCCUCCACCUGUGGGUGUCUGAAGAGGACAAUUGGAGGCAUGAAAGAUAAAGAUGGUGGAUUGAGACAAGAACAAUUUACUGAAAACAGCCAUGAGAUAAGAAAAUGAACAGUAACAGCAACAAUACUAAAGACAAAGGAUAUAAGAAACUACUCACGUGGAGAAAAAUCACCCAAUAGUAGACAAUACCCAACCACUUCCUCGACUGAAAGGGACCCCUUUCCCCCUUCUCCCAGAAGAGUCCCUUUCCCUGCUCCCAGCAAUUCCACGAUGUGGUGCAGAACAACCUUCCAAGCUACUGCAAAAAUUAACACUGUCCUGGUCAGAACCAGGACCCAGGCACCGAAGGAUGAAUGUUAAAAUUCCAUCAGGAGAUUUGGUGAAAAUACUGGAGUGAGUUUCUCUAUACUGGGGGCUGGGGGGGUUGAACCCCUCUCCUGCUGCUUCCCCAGGAUGAGCCUGAUCAUCACAAGGUACACACAGAAUAGGAUUUAAAUCCCUAGAAUGCCUCCUAGUUCCUGAAAAUGAUGGGAAAAUAGACCCAGCACUGAGAAAGGAAUGCCUUUAAUGGAGGGAGGUACUACAAAACUGGGAAGAGAACCUUUGGCACAGCAGGUCUAUCAAAAAAGCACACAGAUAUUUCAUAUGGAGGAGACUGGCCAUUUAUAACCAGAGAUGGAGCCCCAGCAGAGCAGUGGCCACCACAAGGGACCUUUGACAGCACAGACUCACAUUUCUGAGGCAGUGACUGGGUUCCCAGGACAAAGGGAUUGUUGGUCUCUGUGGAAUACCUGGCCAUGAGGCCACCAUAAAGAAUAUUGGUAGCAGGGACAGAAGAAAACCAGAGUUCCCAGAAAUGGGGAAUGACGCAACCAUGAGGAGCCUGAUCUACUCUAAUCAGCAAGGACGUGGUCAGCAGCCCCAUUCACCAAAAUCCGGGCACAGCUGGGGCACAGGCACAAGUUCCACUGGAUAUUCUGGGCACUGUCAGAUUCUGGGCUGCUGUUGGAGAUACUGGAAGGAAGGAAUGGUACAGGGGAGAAUGCCCCUACCUAUGAAGAUCUGAAGAAGAAAUAGGACAGCAGGAUCUCCUGAGUUCAUAGCAUGUAAUGGAUACCCACACCACAGCUCCCCAUUUUCCACUGCAAUACCUCUGGAGCCAGGAAAUCACCAGCAAUCCUCCCUCUGGCUGCAUUGCUGGACAGAUGCUGUGCUGCUUGUGGAGGGGUGAGGCCUGGCCCAUUAAUCUGUCCUCAGAGAGGCUGGCAGCUGGAUUAGUGCUUCAGAUGCUCUUAACAUCUGCAGCUGCAGGACAGCCCCAAAUUCCUCAGCUGGAAGCCGGAGGUAGCAGCAAGGCUGGGGUUUAUAAGCCCUUUAUUUGUGGGGACCAGCAGCGCAGGGGAUGAGAAGAGCCUCCUGAGCAGCCAUGGAGGGGUUACAGCUGCGGG